rnacentral:misc_RNA from 1 species
AACCUCUCAAUCUGCCCCUUUCUUGCUUGAUUGCUCGAGAGGCCUGGCUUCAGAUUGGAUCAUGGCUGGAUGAUGCCGUUGCCUGCAAAGGCGACAGCUCGGCCGAAAUGCAGACAAGUGACGACCGCUCGUGUCGAUCGGCUUGAACUCGACGUUGUAAUUUCUCCCUCGUUGAGCUACGAUCUUCACGUUUUUGACGGUACACUUUGAAACACUCUCAUUUUGAGCAA